rnacentral:rRNA from 1 species
UACGAAGGGGGCUAGCGUUGCUCGGAAUUACUGGGCGUAAAGGGAGCGUAGGCGGAUAGUUUAGUCAGAGGUGAAAGCCCAGGGCUCAACCUUGGAAUUGCCUUUGAUACUGGCUAACUUGAGUACGGAAGAGGUAUGUGGAACUCCGAGUGUAGAGGUGAAAUUCGUAGAUAUUCGGAAGAACACCAGUGGCGAAGGCGACAUACUGGUCCGUUACUGACGCUGAGGCUCGAAAGCGUGGGGAGCAAACAGG